UGUAGAUUCCCAUCGACCUUCCCGUUUACUCCCUCUGCCUUCCCUUUCGCUUGCUAUCGUUCAUUCUCUCCCUAUCCCUCUACCUAUAUGUUCUGUCUGAUGGCAUUGUGUGCCUAGGGUUCGUCGUGUCGUUGUGGGUGUUGCAGGUGGGGUGGUGGUUCGUGGUCAUUAGCGUCAGGAGGUCCUUGCGGUGAAACCCAAGGUUGGCUGUUCGGUUGAGAGCUCGCAGUGUUGCUUGGCUUCCAUUGAAUUGGGUGUUCUGGAGUGCGAGGGUGAGCUUUUAAAGGAGUUUGGAUUGUGGCCACAAAGGGAGGACGAGAGUCUACGGAGAAGACUUAACUAGGAAAGGAAAGCAAAGGCAAAGGACGUACAAAAUAUCCCUCCGACCCAGCCACGACCCUCCUCGUCACCCGCUGCCCCAAUGCAGCCCACAGCAGUCCAACCUUCAUCAGUCCAACCCUCACCAGUCCAACCCACACCAGUCCAUCCAUCAAUAGAGGAGCAGGAUGAUGAAGAUCAUUCUGAUGAUAACUAUGUACAUUAUUAGUUUCAUUUCCUUAUUACUUGUUAUACAAACAUUUGGAUAUUAGAACAUUUAGAGUUUAGAUCAUUUCGAUGUUACAUCAACUGGGUGACUUUGGAUGUUAGAACAUCAUUUCGUACAUUGUUUUAUGUUUGAACUAUAAAUACAUGUUCUAUGUUAUAAU